GGAAUUUUCCGCAAUGGGGGAAACCCUGACGGAGCAACGCCGCGUGCGGGAUGACGCUUUUCGGAGUGUAAACCGCUUUUCUUGGGGAUGAUGGAGGACAGUACCCGAGGAAGAAGGCCCGGCUAACUACGUGCCAGCAGCCGCGGUAAUACGUAGGGGCCGAGCGUUGUCCGGAGUUAUUGGGCGUAAAGCGCGCGCAGGCGGCUUCGCGCGCCCGACGUGAAAGCCCCCGGCUUAACCGGGGAGAGUCGUUGGGGACGGCGGAGCUUGAGGGCGGGAGAGGUCGGUGGAAUUCCCGGUGUAGUGGUGAAAUGCGUAGAGAUCGGGAGGAACACCUGUGGCGAAGGCGGCCGACUGGGCCGACCCUGACGCUGAGGCGCGAAGGCGUGGGGAGCGAAC
rnacentral:rRNA from 1 species